CACUCCUGCGGGAGGCAGCAGUGGGGAAUAUUGCACCAUGGGCGCAAGCCUGAUGCAGCCAUGCCGCGUGUGUGAAGAAGGCCUUCGGGUUGUAAAGCACUUUCAGCGGGGAGGAAGGCGAUACGGUUAAUAACCGUGUUGAUUGACGUUACCCGCAGAAGAAGCACCGGCUAACUCCGUGCCAGCAGCCGCGGUAAUACGGAGGGUGCAAGCGUUAAUCGGAAUUACUGGGCGUAAAGCGCACGCAGGCGGUCUGUCAAGUCGGAUGUGAAAUCCCCGGGCUCAACCUGGGAACUGCAUUCGAAACUGGCAGGCUUGAGUCUUGUAGAGGGGGGUAGAAUUCCAGGUGUAGCGGUGAAAUGCGUAGAGAUCUGGAGGAAUACCGGUGGCGAAGGCGGCCCCCUGGACAAAGACUGACGCUCAGGUGCGAAAGCGUGGGGAGCAAACAGGAUUAGAUACCCCAGUAGUCCCAUGA
rnacentral:rRNA from 1 species